rnacentral:tRNA from 1 species
UGAGGUGUGGCUCAGCGUUAGGGUGCUUGUCUGGCGUGCAUGAAGUCCUGAGUUUGUUCCCAGCACCACAU